rnacentral:rRNA from 1 species
GACAGAGGGGGCAAGCGUUGCUCGGAAUCACUGGGCGUAAAGGGCGCGUAGGCGGGAUGGCAAGUCGGUCGUGAAAUCCCUGGGCUCAACUCAGGGGGUCGGCCGAUACUGCCGUUCUUGAGGGAUGCAGAGGAGACUGGAAUUCCCGGUGUAGCGGUGAAAUGUGUAGAGAUCGGGAGGAACACCGGUGGCGAAGGCGGGUCUCUGGGCAUUCCCUGACGCUGAGACGCGAAAGCGUGGGGAGC